ACUGAUAAUCUCCGGAGUUGUAGUCUGUAUAAGCUAAAUCAACUACAGCUGGGUCUGUAAAGUCUUCUGGAAUGGAGCACCAAGGAGGGUGAUAGCCCCGUUCAUACUUACCCAGCUUGGUGUACGAUUAGCUUUAUAAGAGUCGAGUUGCUUGGGAUUGCAGCUCUAAGUGGGUGGUAAAUUCCAUCUAAAGCUAAAUAUUGGUGGGAGACCGAUAGCAAACAAGUACCGUGAGGGAAAGAUGAAAAGAGCUUUGAAAAGAGAGUUAAAAGUACCUGAAAUUGCUGAAAUGGAACCGAUGGGAGGCAGUGUUGGUGUAUAUUUGGGUAAGUUAUCGCUUGCGGUAUCGGUUCCCAAAGUGCACAAGUCAGGCUUGCUUGGUAAUACGGGAUAGACUUAGGUCGUCGUAUUGUUGAGUGACUCUGACGAAAUGCCUCUUAUCAUCCCGUCUUGAAACACGGACCAAGGAGUCUAACAUGUGUGCGAGUGUUCGGAGCUUAUCUCCAAGCGCGGAAUUAACGUAAAGGUGAAUCUAUGUUCACUAAGGUAGGAUGCUUUGCUGCACUAUCGACCGACCAUGAGUCUUCGGGUUCAAGGUUUGAGUGUGAGCAUACAUGUUGGGACCCGAAAGAUGGUGAACUAUGCUUGAGUAGGACGAAGCCAGGGGAAACUCUGGUGGAGGUCCGCAGCGAUUCU
rnacentral:rRNA from 1 species